rnacentral:rRNA from 1 species
GACGAACGCUGGCGGCGUGCUUAACACAUGCAAGUCGAGCGGCGCGGCGAACGGGUGAGUAACGCGUGAGUAACUGCCCCCCUCUAUGGGAUAACAGUUGGAAACGGCUGCUAAUACCGGAUAGUGGGGGAUGACUCGCGUCCUAUCAGCUUGUCGGCGGGGUAGUGGCCUACCAAGGCGACGACGGGUAGCCGGCCUGAGAGGGCGUCCGGGCACAUUGGGCGGAGAUACGACCCAAACGGCUACGGGAGGCAGCGGUGGGGAAGAUUGCACGAUAGGGGAAACCAUGGUGCAGCAACGCGCGUGCGGAAUGACUGCCUUCGAGUUGUAAACCGCUUUCGGCCAUAACGCGGUAGUGACAGAAGAAGCACCGGCUAACUACGUGCCAGCAGCCGCGGUAAUAC